rnacentral:snRNA from 1 species
UGGCUAUGAGGGCGAUCUGGCUGAGACAUCUGUCACCCCACUGAUUGCCAGGGUUGAUUCAGCUGAUCUGGCUGGCUAGGCAGGUGUCCCAUUCCUCUCUAAUGCUCAACAUGCAUCCUUCCCAAAGCUGCACGCUUGGUCAAAGAGGACGCAGCCUUCCCCGAUAGAGGAGGGCCGGUCCUCUGUCAAGGGUAUACGAGUAGCUGUGCUCCCCUGCUAGAACCUCCAAACAAGCUCUCAAAAUAGCAAAUAUAAAUAUGGUUAAGGAAUUCAAAGAGGAUAUGAAUAAAUUGCAGAAAGAAGACCACAAAACACAAACAGUUGAAUGAAUAAGAAAGCAAUUC